AUGUAAUCCAGUUAUUGUCAUUGAUUUACCAAAGAAGCUGAAAGUAGUAACUCGGGGUGCAGACAUUUAUUUUAAGAAGUUUUUAGACGUUGUCAGCAGCUUCCAACAGAAGAAAUGAGGGACCAAUGCAUUGUUGUUAUUUUCUGUCUGAUUUUGCAAGCGGUCAGUAGAUGUGAUGCUGUAUCUGGUAGUACAAUAGCUCGUAAAGCCAGAUCAUAUAUCGGUAACACAAGAUGGAGUGAAGCAUCAAACUACCAAGGUUUAAGAGGUGAACCCAAAUGUAAUAUCUUCGUGGCUGAUGUCAUGAAUGAAGUUGGGGGAUCUGUACCCGCAAGGUAUGGUUUUCGAGGAAUUAUUGGUGCUGGUGAAUGGGGAAGUCGAUGGUCUAUUCAUUUAGGGGUUUCUCCAUGUUGGAGAAAUGUUAGAAGUCCCAAUAUUGGUGACGUAAUUGGCGCAGGUGGGCAUGUUGGAAUAAUGACACAACGGGAUAAAACUACUAGUGCUGGAACAUAUAGCGUUGUCGAAAACGAUUGGGGUUUUCGAUCUGGCCAAAACCCGGCCUACUGGAGAUAUACUUGUUAAUUGUAACAACACAGCCAUCCCUUGGUGGGGUUGUACUGUUAUUGUUGAUAUACUCUUUAAAACAGCUAGGAAUGCAGAUUUGAAAUUGAAAUAUUUUGCCUUAAUCUGUCUUGUCUCGUUGAUAGUUGAAACCCUUUUAGGGUUUCUAGACUAAUUAAAAAAAAAUCACCUUGUCUUACUGAAUCUUUGAUUCGUUUAAAGAUACAUCAUUAUGGGAGAUUAGAUAAAGAGAUGGAAGUUCUCACUAGAAUAGUUAAAAACUAGAUAAUAUAAAGAGAAUUUGCUGAAAAUUUCAGUCAAAUUGAUCGACUCUGAACCGAGAAAUUAGAGAUUGAAUUUUCAGCCUAGCCUCGAUCAUCAUUACUAAAGUCGGUAAGAUAAAAAAAAAACAUAGCCUCGAUUAAAUCAUAAAUGAAACUUGAGCAGCAAAUCGGAUCCUAAUCCAGGCUAGCGAUUAAGAAUUAUAUAAGUUAAUUAAUGUCUAAUUAAUAAUCUAGAUAACAUUUCAGGCCUCAAGAAAAGGCCUGUAAUAGGCAGAUUUAGCUAUUGCAUGAUGUAUGUUUAAUAAAACAAGAUAACCGUUGGAGGUUGGAGAGAAGGGGGUCUAUACUCAUUCAAAACUAAUUUGUGUUUGAAAAUAUAAUUAGUAUAUUCCGAUUGGGCCUCCACGCAGCCCAACAGGCUUAUGUCCCCCUUCACAAAAGCGCCCUUUUUACACUGAAAUCAGUGUUAGAUUCUGCUUCUGCAAUCGGCCCUUUUUUGUUUAGUGAACUUAUUUCGUUUUAAUCUCCAAUUUAGCGAGUUUUAGUUAAAGGAGAUGGCCCAUAAGUUAAAGGGAGAGGGUCCAUUUGGUUUUAUAAUCCAACAAUGGAUUUAAAAUGGCAUUUACCCAGAUCAAAUUUUCGAAAACAUCUAGUCGCCUCAAGUAAAAAUUCAAAAUUCGUGCAAUAUGCUUCAUAGGCUAAAUUCUGGUGAAAGAAACUUGUACGCCAAAGAUUACAUGCUUUGGGUUGGAUGUUAUGUUCGAACUAAUAUCUAUUCCAAGAAUAGGGUCCACUGUUACGUCUUUAAAUGCUAAAUGUCAAUCACAAGCUCUUGUUUGUCUUGUAUAUCUUUCUAUAACUGUAAAACAUGAAUUUUGGUAUGUCUUUAAAUGUUAAAUAACAAAGUCAUGUUUUUAUAUACUUUUCUAUAACUAUAAAAGAAUAAUAAUAUGUAUAGAAGUCGUUUGCUUUAUGUAUUAUCUCAGCUUAAACUUGUAGAAUUAUUCUGAAAUAAACUUUUUCAGAAAUUUUA